rnacentral:rRNA from 1 species
GAUGAACGUUGGCGGUGCGCUUUAUGCAUGCAAGUCGUACGGAACCAUGGUUCUCGGAUCACGGUUCAGUGGCGGACGGCUGAGUAACACGUGGGUAACCUACCCGUGAGCGGGGGAUAACUUACCGAAAGGUACGCUAAUACCGCAUGGUGUGUGACUGCUCAAGCAGUUUCACUAAAGCCGUAAGGCACUCACGGAUGGGCCUGCGGCCGAUCAGCUAGUUGGUGAGGUAACGGCCCACCAAGGCUAUGAUCGGUAGCUGGUCUGAGAGGAUGUCCAGCCAGAUGGGGACUGAGACACGGCCCCAACUCCUACGGGUGGCAG